UGGGUUGUGGCUCAGUGGUAGAGCACUUGCCUAGCAUGUGUGAGGCAUUGGGUUCUAUUCCCAGCAUCCCAU
rnacentral:tRNA from 1 species